UUGAAGAGUUUGAUCAUGGCUCAGAUUGAACGCUGGCGGCAGGCCUAACACAUGCAAGUCGAGCGGUAGCACAGAGAGCUUGCUCUCGGGUGACGAGCGGCGGACGGGUGAGUAAUGUCUGGGAAACUGCCUGAUGGAGGGGGAUAACUACUGGAAACGGUAGCUAAUACCGCAUAAUGUCGCAAGACCAAAGUGGGGGACCUUCGGGCCUCAUGCCAUCAGAUGUGCCCAGAUGGGAUUAGCUAGUAGGUGGGGUAACGGCUCACCUAGGCGACGAUCCCUAGCUGGUCUGAGAGGAUGACCAGCCACACUGGAACUGAGACACGGUCCAGACUCCUACGGGAGGCAGCAGUGGGGAAUAUUGCACAAUGGGCGCAAGCCUGAUGCAGCCAUGCCGCGUGUAUGAAGAAGGCCUUCGGGUUGUAAAGUACUUUCAGCGGGGAGGAAGGCGAUAAGGUUAAUAACCUUGUCGAUUGACGUUACCCGCAGAAGAAGCACCGGCUAACUCCGUGCCAGCAGCCGCGGUAAUACGGAGGGUGCAAGCGUUAAUCGGAAUUACUGGGCGUAAAGCGCACGCAGGCGGUCUGUCAAGUCGGAUGUGAAAUCCCCGGGCUCAACCUGGGAACUGCAUUCGAAACUGGCAGGCUAGAGUCUUGUAGAGGGGGGUAGAAUUCCAGGUGUAGCGGUGAAAUGCGUAGAGAUCUGGAGGAAUACCGGUGGCGAAGGCGGCCCCCUGGACAAAGACUGACGCUCAGGUGCGAAAGCGUGGGGAGCAAACAGGAUUAGAUACCCUGGUAGUCCACGCCGUAAACGAUGUCGAUUUGGAGGUUGUGCCCUUGAGGCGUGGCUUCCGGAGCUAACGCGUUAAAUCGACCGCCUGGGGAGUACGGCCGCAAGGUUAAAACUCAAAUGAAUUGACGGGGGCCCGCACAAGCGGUGGAGCAUGUGGUUUAAUUCGAUGCAACGCGAAGAACCUUACCUGGUCUUGACAUCCACAGAACUUAGCAGAGAUGCUUGGUGCCUUCGGGAACUGUGAGACAGGUGCUGCAUGGCUGUCGUCAGCUCGUGUUGUGAAAUGUUGGGUUAAGUCCCGCAACGAGCGCAACCCUUAUCCUUUGUUGCCAGCGGUUCGGCCGGGAACUCAAAGGAGACUGCCAGUGAUAAACUGGAGGAAGGUGGGGAUGACGUCAAGUCAUCAUGGCCCUUACGACCAGGGCUACACACGUGCUACAAUGGCAUAUACAAAGAGAAGCGACCUCGCGAGAGCAAGCGGACCUCAUAAAGUAUGUCGUAGUCCGGAUUGGAGUCUGCAACUCGACUCCAUGAAGUCGGAAUCGCUAGUAAUCGUAGAUCAGAAUGCUACGGUGAAUACGUUCCCGGGCCUUGUACACACCGCCCGUCACACCAUGGGAGUGGGUUGCAAAAGAAGUAGGUAGCUUAACCUUCGGGAGGGCGCUUACCACUUUGUGAUUCAUGACUGGGGUGAAGUCGUAACAAGGUAACCGUAGGGGAACCUGCGGUUGGAUCACCUCCUU
rnacentral:rRNA from 1 species